rnacentral:rRNA from 1 species
UACGAGAGGCCCAAACGUUAUCCGGAAUUAUUGGGCGUAAAGCGUCCGCAGGUGGCACCUCAAGUCUGCUGUCAAAGACCGGGGCUUAACCCCAGAAAGGCAGUGGAAACUGAAGUGCUAGAGUGCAGUAGGGGUAGAGGGAAUUCCCGGUGUAGCGGUGAAAUGCGUAGAGAUCGGGAAGAACAUCGGUGGCGAAAGCGCUCUGCUGGACUGCAACUGACACUCAGGGACGAAAGCUAGGGGAGCGAAUGGG